GCAAACUUGGUCAUUUAGAGGAAGUAAAAGUCGUAACAAGGUUUCCGUAGGUGAACCUGCGGAAGGAUCAUUACAAAAACAUAGCCGUCUGGUCGCGAGACCGUGACGCUUCAACCCUCUGUGAACCAAAAACCUUUUCGCUUCGGCAGCAGCCGCGGUCCUGACCGGCCGCGCGUGUCAGCCUGCCGCUAGCACCAACCAGAAAACUUGCAGUCAACAUUGUCUGAUGACCAAAUUUUCGAAUGAAAAUCAAAACUUUCAACAACGGAUCUCUUGGUUCCCGCAUCGAUGAAGAACGCAGC
rnacentral:misc_RNA from 1 species